UCUAAGUCCACACGGACCACACCUAAAAUAUUGUCGGACAUGCCCAAAUCCUGCUGACUUCAGCUUCCUGACUCGUUCUCAAGCCUCUCAUUCUCUUCUUUUCUCAUUUUCUUUCGCUCUCUUUUGUUAGGAAUAGCUUAUCGGGACACUCCAGACCAACAGUUGUUUGAUGCUGCUUAUAGUGGAAAUAUUGAAGGAAUGAGGAUUGCCCUCUCUAAAGGGGCAGAUAUCAAUUGGAAGAAUCCCAGUUUUGUAAGUGUAUGAUGUAGUGACUAGUGUAUUAGUAUGACUUGUAUAAUGUAAAAGUACCUGCAGUUUAGUUAUAAAUCAGUUUAUUAUAUUAAUAUUGUGUAAUUACCAUAUUUCCUCAUGGAAGCACCUA